CAGGGAGGUAGUGACAAUAAAUACCUUACAGAGGUCUCGUUAACCGAGAUCUCUCAAACGGAAUGAGUACAACGUGAAUCCUUUAACGAGGAUCGACUGGAGGGCAAGCCUGGUGCCAGCAGCCGCGGUAAUUCCAGCUCCAGUAGCGUAUAUUAAAGCUGUUGCGGUUAAAAAGCUCGUAGUUGGAUAUCAGUGCGUGUCCGGUCCGGUAUGCCUGGCGGCGGCGCUCGCGCGUCACUGCUGGGCUCCCAAAUAUCGGCUGGCCGCAUUCAAUCGUGCCGGAUCCGUCGUCGGGCCGUUCUUCGGAGGGGCCUGGUGGCGACCGGCGACGUUACCUUGAACAAAUUAGAGUGCUCAAAGCAGGCUCUGUAUGCCUGUAUACAUAUUCAUGGAAUUGGAGAAUACGUCCCUGGCUCGAUUUGGUUGGUUUUGAGAGUCGAAGGGAAAUGAUUAAUAGGGACUGACGGAGGCAUUCGUAUUGCGACGCGAGGGGUGAAAUCCUGUGACCGUCGCACGACGAACUACUGCGAAAGCAUUUGCCGAGAAUGUUUUCAUUAGUCAAGAACGAAAGUUAGAGGUUCGAAGGCGAUCAGAUACCGCCCUAGUUCUAACCGUAAACGAUGUCGACCAGCAAUCCGCAACGGUCACUACACGGACUGUGCGGGCAGCUUCCCCGGGGAAACCAGAGUUUUUGGACUCCGGGGGAAGUAUGGUUGCAAAGCUGAAACUUAAAGGAAUUGACGGAAGGGCACCACCAGGAGUGGAGCUUGCGGCUUAAUUUGACUCAACACGGGACAACUCACCAGGCCCGGACACUGUAAGGAUUGACAGACUGAUAGCUCUCUCUUGAUUCAGUGGGUGGUGGUGCAUGGCCGUUCUUAGUUGGUGGAGUGAUUUGUCUGGUUUAUUCCGAUAACGAACGAGACUCUGGCCUAUUAAACUUGACACUGUCAGUCUCUUGUGACUGCGG
rnacentral:rRNA from 1 species